rnacentral:rRNA from 1 species
CCGAUGUAUGUGUGAUCAUUGACCAGUGUGAACUGUCCAACAAAUCUUCAGGGGUCGGCACAGGCAUAAGUGCUCGUUAAAUGGUGGAUAUACCAAAGAAGGUUCCUUCCACCAGCCCCGCCAUUGUGUUUACUAUGCAAAUUGAACGUAAGAGACUGAGAACGUAUCAUCAUGAUCGCGUAUGUACUGUGAUGCAUGGAUGGAAAAGCAAAAAAUAAGAGACAAACAACUUUUGACGGUGGAUCUCUUGGCUCACGUAUCGAUGAAGAACGCAGCCAGCUGCGAUAUGCAGUGUGAAUUGCAGAAUUCAGUGAAUCAUUGAAUCUUUGAACGCAAAUGGCGCUCUUGGGUUCUCCCAGGAGCAUGUCUGUCUGAGUGUCGGAUUUUCUCGAACGCAGGCGAGUGUACACUCACUCACUCGGGUGCGGUAUUGAGGUGUCACGGCGUGAUUCAUUCCAACGAUCGCCGUGUCCCUUGAAGGGCAGCAGCAUUGGACUCGCAUUCUCUAGGUAAACUCGAGUGCGAAGGCUAAAGAUAUUGGUAUUUAUUUUCCUUCGCGGAGAUACAUGGGGUUAUGCCGAGUCCUUGCUGAGAAGUUAAUAGAGAGAGUGUGGCAUUUUUCUUGACCUCAGAUCAGGCAAGGCUACCCGCUGAAUUUAA